rnacentral:rRNA from 1 species
AGAGGGUGCGAACGUUGCUCGGAUUUACUGGGCGUAAAGCGCGUGUAGGCGGACUCGCAAGUCGGUUGUGAAAUCCCUGGGCUCAACCUAGGAACUGCAUCCGAAACUGCUUGUCUUGAGUAAUGGAGAGGGUGGCGGAAUUCCCGGUGUAGAGGUGAAAUUCGUAGAUAUCGGGAGGAACAUCAGUGGCGAAGGCGGCCACCUGGACAUUUACUGACGCUGAGACGCGAAAGCGUGGGGAGCAAACAGGGAUUAGAUACCCUGGUAGUCCACGCCGUAAACGAUGAGCAUUAGGUGCAGCGGAUAUUGACCUCUGCUGUGCCGUAGCUAACGCGUUAAAUGCUCCGCCUGGGAGUACGGCCGCAAGGCUA